UACGUAGGGUGCGAGCGUUGUCCGGAAUUAUUGGGCGUAAAGAGCUUGUAGGCGGUUUGUCGCGUCUGCCGUGAAAAUUCGAGGCUCAACCUCGAACUUGCGGUGGGUACGGGCAGACUAGAGUCCGGUAGGGGAGCGUGGAAUUCCUGGUGUAGCGGUGAAAUGCGCAGAUAUCAGGAGGAACACCAGCGGCGAAGGCGGCGCUCUGGGCCGGAACUGACGCUGAGGAGCGAAAGCGUGGGUAGCAAACAGG
rnacentral:rRNA from 1 species